rnacentral:rRNA from 1 species
UACAGAGGGUGCGAGCGUUAAUCGGAAUUACUGGGCGUAAAGCGUGCGUAGACGGUUAUUUAAGUCGGGUGUGAAAGCCCCGGGCUCAACCUGGGAAUUGCAUUCGAGACUGAAUAGCUAGGGUACGGUAGAGGGAAGCGGAAUUUCCGGUGUAGCGGUGAAAUGUGUAGAUAUCGGAAGGAACAUCAGUGGCGAAAGCGGCUUCCUGGACCAGUACCGACGUUCAGGCACGAAAGCGUGGGGAGCAAACAGG